CUCCAUUCCCCUUCCUCUUCUCUCUGUCUCUUCUCUAAUCUCCAUUCCCUUUCUUGAUUUCUCUCAACCUUGCCGUCUCCGACUCUCCGACUCUCCAAUCUCCAUCUGCUCUCUCUCUCGCUCUCUGUUUUUGUCUCCGACUCUCCAGAGACUCCCCUUUGUCUCUGACUCUCCGCCAAAGUAAAGUUUCUUUUUUUUAUUGGUUUUCGUUUUUUGGCGUCUUGGUACAACGGCCGAUGGAGAACCCAACAAAGGAAUCGGGUCUUGAUUAUGGGCGGAUUACUUAAGAACCCAUCUUCGUCCUUGAAUGAUUCGUAUACUGAUUCCAUCAAACUCGCUGCACAUCAAAGAGAAUGCGUAAAUUCUGAAGGUAGCGCAGCUUUGAUAGACGGCACUCUAUACUGUAUGUGUCGUGCAGGUGCUGGAUGAGUAUUAGAAGAAUUUUGUAAUUCGUGGAGGAUUGUUUAGACAGAUAGUACUCAACCAUGUUUGUGUGUUGUUAAUUUUUUUUUCAAUGUUUGGUUCAUGAAUGUAUUGUAACGACAUAUUACUCUUUGUUGUGUGAGAUCGUAUAAUAGAUGUUUAGUUUUUUGGAUAGAUUGAUGUAACAUAUUAUUUUUUGUUAUUGUGGAUUAAUCUAAA